rnacentral:tRNA from 1 species
CGGAUUGCAAAUCCGUGUACACCGGUUCGAUUCCGGUACUCGCCU